CCAGCAGCCGCGGUAAUACGUAGGUGGCGAGCGUUAUCCGGAAUCAUUGGGCGUAAAGAGGGAGCAGGCGGCCGCAAGGGUCUGUGGUGAAAGACCGAAGCUAAACUUCGGUAAGCCAUGGAAACCGGGCGGCUAGAGUGCGGAAGAGGAUCGUGGAAUUCCAUGUGUAGCGGUGAAAUGCGUAGAUAUCUGGAGGAACAUCAGUGGCGAAGGCGACUCCCUGGCCAAAGACUGACGCUCAUGUGCGAAAGUGUGGGUAGCGAACAGGAUUAGAUACCCUGGUAGUCCCAGCCGUAAACGAUGGACGCUAGGUGUGGGGGGACGAUCCCCCCGUGCCGCAGCCAACGCAUUAAGCGUCCCGCCUGGGGAGUACGGCCGCAAGGCUAAAACUCAAAGGAAUUGUC
rnacentral:rRNA from 17 species